AGGGGACUUAGGAAGAUGAGAGGUGCGGGCUUGACGCCCAUGAGAAGCCCCAAAGCUGAGCCUCAGUUUCUGCCACGUGUCCAGAGCGUAGAAAAUGAUCCACAGUGGUGUAGGGAAGCCGAAUGCCUAGUGGGGAUAGGCUGAAAAAUUGUGGGGAAAAUCCCAGUCUGAGCUUCUAUGGACAGAAAAGGGCAGAAAGAGGGAGGGAGUUGGAGAGGACGGUGAACAAUAAUGACCCCGUUUCCUGAGUGCUCAUCCUGUGCCACGCAUGGAGCCGCGGCUUGACAAGCAUCUUUACUGCAACCCUAUUCCGCCAGUGAGCCUGAGACCCAGGGAGCUUAGAAACCCGGCCAGAAUCUGGCAGAGGGGGGGCCCUAACCCGCCGUCUGAGCCCACGGUGGCACCCUUAAUCACCAAGCUCCACAGUGUGGAGGACGAGAGAGUGGAACUACCGGAGAAGACACGGGGAUGCGGCUCGGAGAGAGAGGAUGGACUGAAGCGAUUUGAAAGGCAGGAGCAUCUGACCAAACUGUCCAUGCAUCCUCCUUCCACUAGAACACCUUCCUGCAAGCUCGCUCCUGGAGGUUCACCCUUUACCAGACGUGGAUGAUUCUCAGAUGGGUUCAAGCUGGGACCACAUGCUCACGCACAUAUGCACAAGCAUGUGUUCACACUGUUACUACCACAUCUUCUGUAAGAGCACAGAAGAAAUAAUAAAAUUAUCCUUGAUUAAGCACCUCCACU
rnacentral:lncRNA from 1 species